UCCUGAAAAGUAACAAGCAAACAAACACGAAAAAUUAAUAAUGAGGAAAUUGUCAAGAUGUACUUGGUCACAAAAGUCGCAACAUAUUAUAAAUGUUCAUUAUUUUCCUGCAUCUAGUUGUUCAAGUGAUACCAUUGCUAUCAAAGAAACUUAACUAGACAAAUCCAAAAAGGGUGCAACCAAUUAGACAGUAUCUUAUUGGGAUGUCCGGGGGUUGUCGACAGCUUAUAAAUUACUAAAUGAAGUCUUUACAAGUUACUUCCAAGAAACUUGGGAAGAAAUAAUACCUGACUGGUGUGGAGCACCAUGAUGACCUGCAGGAGGAUAUCCCUGUGGAGGAUAUCCUUGUUGUGGAGGAUAUCCAGCAGGUGGAUAUCCUCCUUGCGGAGGAUAACCCUGUUGUGGAUACCCUUGCUGUGGAGGGUACCCUUGUUGUGGAGGGUACCCUUGAGGAGGAUACCCUUGCUGCGGAGGGUAACCACCGUGCUGUGGAGGAUACUGUCCUGGAUGUCCGUGAUGACCACCAGCAAGACCACCCAUACCUCCCAUUAUAUUGUUAAAGAGUCCCUUAUCAGAAUCAUCCUUACC
rnacentral:lncRNA from 1 species